GGCGGUUCUCGGGUGAUGCACCCCAGAAUUGGGCUCCCUCCUCUCCGGUUCCAUGUGUAUCACCCGGGAAGCGCA
rfam:Myotis brandtii contig289995, whole genome shotgun sequence.